rnacentral:rRNA from 1 species
GAUGAACGCUGGCGGCGUGCCUAACACAUGCAAGUCGAGCGAACAGACGUGGAGUUCGUUCCGUCGUCGUUAGCGGCGGACGGGUGAGUAACACGUAGGUCACCUAUCUAUAAGACCGGGCUAACUUCGGGAAACCGGAGCUAAUACCGGAUAAUAUUUAGAACCGCAUGGUUCGAUAGGGAAAGAUGGCCGUGCUUUUACUUAUAGAUGGUCCUGUGCCGUCUUAGCAGGUUGGUAAGGUAGCGGUUGACUAAGGCAACGAUGCGUAGCCGACCUGAGAGGGUGAGCGGCCACACUGGAACUGAGACACGGUCCAGACUCAUACGGGAGGCAGCAGUAGGGAAUCUGAAGCAAUGGGCGAGAGCCUGACGGAGCAACGCCGCGUGAGUGAUGAAGGUCUUCGGAUCGUAAAACUCUGUUAUUAGGGAAGAACAAACGUGUAAGUAACUGUGCACGUCGUGACGGUACCUAAACAGAAAGCCACGGCUAACUACGUG